UCACUUAAACUUCACCCCUUCCCAAACCACUUUUGCCUCCGACUCUGAGUUAAUGGUUGCCACCAGGUGCUAGAGUAGUUGUGAUAAGGGAUAUAAAGGCAGCACAGCAUCCUCAGAGCUCUCUGCAGGAAGGAGAUACCAUGGUGCUCUGCUGCAGUAAGCUGGCAGCCCUGGUGCUGCUCCUAGAAGUUAGUGCAGCCCCAGUGAGGCUGUGGACUUCAGGUGUCUGUGGUUGUUCUGAAGGGCCCUUCUACUCUUGUGUGCCAGGAAGGUGGGAUUUUUGCUGCAAGGUAAACCUGCAUUUUAUAAGCAGGAUUACCAUCAGGAUGGAUGUUUGUGAAAUGUCCCAAGCACUCUAUAUGACACCCUUCCCCUCAAUUGAAGGUGGCCAUGAACAGCUGCUGCUGAAUCAUCUAGGAGCUGAAACUUGCUUGUUGGAGAGCAAUGUGUUUUCCGAAGUUAUCGACAUGCUGAAGUUGGACCUUGUCCAAAGCAAACCUUCCACUCUGCCUUGAGUCUAAUUCCUGUCAUACUGUGGAGGAUGAGUGUGACUCAUCUCCAACCAGUAGAGUUGUACAUAGGGCCUGGUGACACAUGGAGGAGAUGAAGAACAGAGCCAUGUACUUUAGGACCAGCUUUAUAACCAGCAUGUUAAAAGUACAAGGACAAUUUUUUUCUUUGCGUGUUGUCUACAAAGAGUAAUUGAGGAGCAACAUUUCAUAAGAGCAGGCACCAACAUCUUGUGCAAGGUUACUUCCAAUGGGCUUUCUCCCAGUUCUGGUUCUCUGUUGAGUGAACCAUUUGCUGCUCUGUGAUGUAGUUCUGUUUCCAUGGAUCCAGAUCUUCAAAUAAAAGAUCACUUGAUGCAAGUCAGAAGUGUUAAGACUUCUAUGGCAGUAAAAAAGAAAUGAGCCUAACAGUGCUGAGAUGUGACUAUUGGCAUACGUAGAUGUAUGGGAGGCAAUCUUCAUCAUCCUUGUGGUGCUAUAUAGAUGUGUUUCUUGUGUGAGGAUUUGAGCAGCCUUCGGUUGUGGAAAGCUUCUGAGAUCUCAUGCUGAGGACUGCGCACUUGGAGCUGAGCUGUUCCUGUUUCCUGAUGGAGACAGCACUCAAAUUUCUUCCAUGUCAAGUCUGGCAAUAAACUGUGGGCAGGGCGGUGCUGUGGGUGCCUGGAUCUGGGCUGGGCAGAGUAGGAAGGUGGAGCUGCUUCCUCUUGGAGCCUCCCAGGGAUGUGACUCAGAUGUCACAGCUGACUGUGCUGAUCCUGCUGCCAGGAAGGGAUGGUGUUCAGCAAGCCACUUGUCAUCCUGCCCAAGGCUCCACACGUCUUCCAGUCCCAUGGCUUAGCAGCUGUGCAAGGGCAGAAUCCAGAGGACGAUGCAGGCCAUCUUGAACAUUCCGUCCUCUCCUCACAGUCCAGCCCUGCUCAUGUUCUAAGCCUGCAUGUCCUCGCUUGUGGAGGAGAACAGUGAGAACUUUGUGGGCUUUGCACCAUUUUCCCCAUAUCUGGUCAUUCAAAUCUUACUGGCAGUGGGAAGCUAGAUUUUCUCCACAAGAGGAGGUUGAAACUUGCAUUGAGAUGCCAUCAGAUAAGAUGCCCACGUGGCAGAGGAAAGCUCUUUGUCACACUGGCUGUGGAACAAGGGAGGAAGCUUGUAAAUAUCACAUGAAGGAUGCCAGCGUGUGCCAUGAGGACAAGCUGCUUGCUGCUCAUCCAAGCCCUUGUGCUGCUGCUCACUAUCUCAUCUGACACCCAGCUGGAGUUGGUUUGUUAGUGCUGCUGCCAAGCCAGUCUUAAUCUCCAGGGCUGCAGAGAAAUGUGAGGCUGGAGCAGGAGGGAGCAUACAGCCAGCCCCUCAGCCCAUCAUACUUCCAUGAUGAUGCUAGGAAAAUACAGAGCAAACAACACUGCAGGAAGAAACUUAGCCCACAUACAAUAUACAAGAGCUGUUCCCAUGAUGUUUGCUCAGCCCCUGGUUAAUUUAGUGCGCGGGACGAUCUGGCAGAUUAUGCAGCGAGACAUGCUAAUUCAGGCCUGUGGUUCGUGUGAAAGAAUUACAAGACAGUCUGGGAGACAAUGCAAGCUAAUAUUAGGACGCUAGGCAGGGAGUCAGGAAUCCUAAUCCUGACUGCCACUGACCUGCUCCCAGGCCCUCAGUCCCUCUUUGGAGCUGCUUGGAGAAGAAGAGGAUCUCCCUUGGUGCUCAACAGAGGGAGAUCUCCAUCCCAGCUGAGGCUUCUGGCCUCUAUUAUAUGUAAAUAGUAAAGAUGAUGGUAAUCUUUCCAGAGAGGGUAAGCACUGUAGGGGUGGUAUUGCAUAUCCAAGAUGCUGCUUUUUUUGGAUCAAGCUUCUGUGUGAAGCAGGUGCUGCUUCAGCGUGACGCUGCUUUUGCAGGACCAGUAAGCAGUAAGUUGAUCAGGGACAUUUCUGUGAAGACACAACAUCAGACAUUGCAAUGAAUUCUUGUGCUUCAAAAACACAAGAUGGGUUGUAUAUCUUCCAAAUCACUGAAUGAUAUCUGUGGUGUGUUAAUUGGCUCUGCUUCUGAGAACAUUUAUGUGUGUGCUCAGUCUUACACAUGUGGCUUGUCUGAUGCCUGUAAAUCACUCUUGUGAGAGCAAAGCAAAGCCGCUCCCCAGAUGGCUGCAGGAUAAGGGCCGUGCUGCAUCCUUGCCUGCUGUGGCUUUUGCCAGAAUUACAGCUGUGACCUCCCAGCUGCUUAGCACUGCUGAAGAAAGAAUGUGUCCAAUUCUGAAGGAAUUCCUCCCCAAACCCUCAGCACGUUCUGUCGCUGUGCCUUAUUGCAACUUCAGGCAUAGAGGACAAUAAGGUCUCCUAUGAGCCUCCUUUUCUCCACACUGAACCAUCCCAGUUCCCUCAGCCGUUCCCCAUAAUACUUGUGUUCCACUCCCUCACCACCUUAGCUGCCUUUUGCUGGACAAACUCCAGGGCCUCAAUGUCUUUCCUGUAGUGAGGGGCCCAACGCAGUACCGAAGAUGUGAACUUAUGGUACUGUAAAGACUUACAGCCUUUAGAAGCCUUUCCUAAUUUAGCUGUCUCCCCUUAGCUUUCAGUGUUUUAAAGAGGGAAAGAAUAAGUUUUAAGCAUUGAAGAUGCAUGGAGAAAAUAGGUGAUAGAGAGAAUGGAACAGGGAGAUGGUGUGUACCAAGCAGUGGAAGAGCAAGGAAUGUUGACUCUUUUGCCUCAGCAAAACUGGCAAUGAGUUUGAAGAUGCAAACAGGCUCACUGUAUCUGCAAAAGGAAGGAAGAAUAAAGGAGGACUCUUGGAGUCCUGGGCAAUUGUGCUGACUUCCAAUAGCACAGAUGAGAGGUAGCCCUUCUCCUUUUCCAUCAGUAGAAGCAGAAAGAGGGAAGUUUAUCAGUUGUACAGAUGAACUAGGAUAGUAGGGUAAAGCUAUUGUCUACUGAAAAGUCCCUCUCAACUCAUGUGGGUCCAUUAAAAUAGCAAAAGAAAAAUUCCCAGGGAAGAAUGCAAAGUGGUAAAACUUAAUGUGUACCAGACUAGGGCAGGAACUCCCUCCUUCUGUGAAUAGAUCGUAGACAAGAAAGACU